rnacentral:rRNA from 1 species
GACGAACGCUGGCGGCGUGCUUAACACAUGCAAGUCGAACGGAAAGGCCCUGCCUGCAGGGUGCUCGAGUGGCGAACGGGUGAGUAACACGUGGGUGAUCUGCCCCUUACUUUGGGAUAAGCCUGGGAAACUGGGUCUAAUACUGGAUAGGACCAUGCUGUAGGUGGUGUGGUGGAAAGAUUAGUUUCGGUAAGGGAUGAGCUCGCGGCCUAUCAGCUUGUUGGUGGGGUAAUGGCCUACCAAGGCGUCGACGGGUAGCCGGCCUGAGAGGGUGGACGGCCACAUUGGGACUGAGAUACGGCCCAGACUCCUACGGGAGGCAGCAGUGGGGAAUAUUGCACAAUGGGCGCAAGCCUGAUGCAGCGACGCCGCGUGGGGGAUGACGGCCUUCGGGUUGUAAACUCCUUUCAGCCAUGACGAAGCCCUUGUGGUGACGGUAGUGGUAGAAGAAGCACCGGCUAACUACGUG